rnacentral:rRNA from 1 species
GAUGAACGCUCGCUCCAGGCUUAACACAUGCAAGUCGAGGGACCGGCGCACGGGUGAGUAACACGUAUCCAACCUGCCCUUUACUCGGGGAUAGCCUUUCGAAAGAAAGAUUAAUACCCGAUAUAAUGGAUGGGGAUGCGUUCCAUUAGGUUGUUGGUGAGGUAACGGCUCACCAAGCAUUCGAUGGAUAGGGGUUAUGAGAGGAAGGAACACCACAUGGGAACUGGGACACGGUCGAAACUCCUACGGGAGGCAGCAGUGAGGAAUAUUGGUAAAUAGGCGCUAGCCUGAACCAGCCAAGUAGCGUGAAGGAUGAAGGCUUAUUGUUCGUAAACUUCUAUUAUAUAAGAAUAUGUAUUAUAUGAAUAAGGAUCGGCUAACUCCGUGCCAGCAGCCGCGGUAAUAC